UCCUACGGGAGGCAGCAGUGGGGAAUAUUGCACAAUGGGCGAAAGCCUGAUGCAGCGACGCCGCGUGAGGGAUGACGGCCUUCGGGUUGUAAACCUCUUUCAGCAGGGACGAAGCGAGAGUGACGGUACCUGCAGAAGAAGCACCGGCCAACUACGUGCCAGCAGCCGCGGUAAUACGUAGGGUGCGAGCGUUGUCCGGAAUUACUGGGCGUAAAGAGCUCGUAGGCGGUUUGUCGCGUCGUCCGUGAAAACUUGGGGCUCAACCCCAAGCUUGCGGGCGAUACGGGCAGACUUGAGUACUGCAGGGGAGACUGGAAUUCCUGGUGUAGCGGUGAAAUGCGCAGAUAUCAGGAGGAACACCGGUGGCGAAGGCGGGUCUCUGGGCAGUAACUGACGCUGAGGAGCGAAAGCGUGGGUAGCGAACAGGAUUAGAUACCCUGG
rnacentral:rRNA from 2 species